GCGUCUCACUCUUUUCUCCCUGGAGCUUUCCCUUUCCAUCGCGGCCUAUGGUAAAAGUAGUCCCUAUCGUAAAGCAUGUUUUUUCGUUUAGGAUGUAUUUCCUGUGAAAUAGGCCUCCUGAAGAGUAAAAAAAUCAUAAUAAUCGUGACUUUGAGUCGAAAAUAGCUUUGAAUAAUAGAAAAAUAAACUUUGCUGCGGUCAAGCGGCGUAUGAAUACAUGGAAUUUCCUCCCUAACCUCCUUUCGAUCAGAUAUCAGUGAUAUUGAUGUUGUGAUUUGUAUCGAAAGUUGUGUUUUGAAUUAGUGUCGGCGAUUCAUGAUCGGUCGCGAUGUUAUUGUGUGAAUCUAAUCGGAAAGUGGAUAUGUGAUGGUUUUACCAUGGUGUUCAGUGAAGUGUCGUUGUCGUGUCGUAAGUUUCGGUGUAACGUGAGUGAAAGUUCGUUGUUUUCGCAGCGGCGGGGUUGGCAAGUUGAAAAGUCACUGUGGCUGUGCCUAACAUGGCUGCUACUGAAGCUGAGCCCAGCUAAACGAGGUGAACCGUGAUUCCGUUCAACAGGAGCAGCCCUCGGAUCUAGGAAAUGCAGCUCUGCAAAACGGAACGGUUAACAGGAACAACAGCCGUUUGAUUGAUCGGGUAAAUACCGAUGUGGGAAACGCGAGAAUCAAACAACCGGUGCCGAAUCCCCAUCCCCCAGAAAUGAAUCAGUACCGGCCCGAAUCCGGAACUAGUCUGUCUAAUAGCGAGCAAAAUUCUAAUAAUGUCGACCAAGUGCCAAUCAAAGUCUUUAAUUCUGAUAGUAAAAUGCACCCAUCCAAUUCUGAAGGUGGUGGAGAAGGUGAUCCAAACUAUCCAAAGUUGUCUCCUGAGAGUCAAAACAUGCCAAGUGGUUAUGGUCAUGCCUUUGCUUCCAGAGGAGGGCAUAGUCACCCUGACCAACAUAGUUCAUCCAACAUGUCACCACUGCACGGUGGUGAACUACAUCAAAAUAACUCAUUCGGCCAGUUCAUUAGACACGCAUACCAAAGUUCAAAACCCAUGCCAGGCUCGCCUCGGUUACAAGGUGUAGGCCCUAACAUGGUAUCGGUCAGUGCUUUCUCCCCCCAUAACCACCAGUCACGAUUUAUGUCAGGUCAAAGUAUAUCGCAGCCCUCAGGACCCACUCCUACUCUUAAUCAGUUGUUGCAAUCUUCUAAUCCAGUGCAAAGGUAUCAAAACAAUUUCAGUGAAUAUAGUGCGGGAAUGCAAAAAGGCGAUCAAUCACAAGGUACCCUACCGUACAAUCAAGUGUGGCCGUCGCCUCAAACAAUGGCUCCUUAUGGACCUCAACAAGGAGUGGUGAUGUUUCGAAACCAAACCACGAAUGGGCCGGGAAGAGGUGGACCUUCGCCGCAGCAACAGCAGCAAACAGGCCAGCAAGGAACGCAGCAGCCGUCGGGAGUAGGUACUCUUCAGCGAGCUUCUCCGCCUGGCCAGCAAUAUCUACCUCAAAGUGGAGCAUCCUCUCCGGGGCCCCCGCCGAAUUCUGUCAUGUACUCUCAAUCCCCUUCGCAAUCCAAUAGUAAUGCGCAAUCAUCUCAAAGUGCAUUGAACCAACAGUAUCCUCCAUUUCCUCAGAAAUAUUCAUCCUCGCAGAAUGUUUCUCCUGCUGGAGCUUCUUCCAGAUCAUCGCAUCCCUCGCACCAGGUGAACCCACCUUUUAACAAUGAGGGUCAGACAGGCCAAGGACCAAGUCCCUCGCAAUCUCAGAAUUCUCAGCAGCAAAGAGGGCAGUCGCAACAGCAGCUGGCAGGCUUGCAAGCAGGUCCUGGCCAUCAGCAGCAAUCAGCACUGACUCCUCCUGCGUCAAAUAUGUCCUCCAGCGGGGCUUUUGGGUUAGGGCCAGGAGAGCAGCGGUCCUGGCCUACACAACAACAACAUCCACCGAGUCCUAUCUCUGGGCCUGGGCCAGGGCCCCCUCAAAACUCCUCACCUGCUCCGCAGUCACCGCCUCCCGGCCAGUACCCUCCACCAUCCCCUCAACAUCAGUCGCAUCAGUCACCGCAGCAUCAACAGCCGCAUCAAUCACCGCAACAUCAGCAGCCGCAGCAAUCUCCGCAGCAUCAGCCUUUCUCUUCGAGGACUCCUUCUUCACCAAAUCCACAUGCGCCUGAUACAGGGGAUCUGACAGGCCAGAAUAGUAAUGACAGCUGCAGUGGGAGUGGGGCUGCUGGUCCGGGCACGCCUAAUUCUCAGGGGAUGAGACCAACCCCAUCGCCGACGGGCUCCUCAGGUUCACGAUCCAUGUCCCCGCAGUCGGUAAGUCUCUAUUCUAUUUCUAUGUGUCCUCUAUACAUUAUAUAUCACAAUAUAUUCAUAAUAUAUGUAAAUGAAGCCAGCGACGGAUUUACCUUUUUAGCGCUCCCAGGCAAAUCUUAUAGUCGCGCUCCUCGUAGGACGGACGACUGUGUGGGGAGGUCUGGAAGGUACCCCCCCCCCCCCCCAGCCAAAAGGGGGGUUCGGGGGUCCUCCCCCGGAAAAUUUUCA
rnacentral:lncRNA from 1 species